UACGAAGGGGGCUAGCGUUGCUCGGAAUUACUGGGCGUAAAGCGCACGUAGGCGGCCAACUAAGUCAGACGUGAAAUCCCUCGGCUUAACCGGGGAACUGCGUCUGAUACUGGAUGGCUAGAGGUUGGGAGAGGGAUGCGGAAUUCCAGGUGUAGCGGUGAAAUGCGUAGAUAUCUGGAGGAACACCGGUGGCGAAGGCGACAUCCUGGACCGGUAUUGACGCUGAGGCGCGAAAGCGUGGGGAGCAAACAGGAU
rnacentral:rRNA from 1 species